rnacentral:snRNA from 2 species
UCAUUAGUGAAUGGGGCAAUGACAGAGCUAGUGAAGUUAUAUCGAAGCGCGUGAGUUGCUGGUUGAAAACUAUUUCCAAACCCCCGCAUUGGGCCCAUUAAGAAUUUCUAAAAGGGCUCAUUUUCUUUGGGAGGGUAAAGCC